UACGGAGGGGGCUAGCGUUGUUCGGAAUUACUGGGCGUAAAGCGCACGUAGGCGGACUGUUAAGUCGGGGGUGAAAUCCUGGGGCUCAACCUCAGAAUUGCCUCCGAUACUGGCAGUCUCGAGUGCGGGAGAGGUGAGUGGAAUUCCCAGUGUAGAGGUGAAAUUCGUAGAUAUUAGGAAGAACACCAGUGGCGAAGGCCGGGCUCACUGGCCCGGUACUGACGCUGAGGAGCGAAAGCGUGGGGAGCGAACAGG
rnacentral:rRNA from 1 species